rnacentral:lncRNA from 1 species
ACACUCAUUCAGCAACAGCAGCACCACCACCACCACCAGCAGCAGCGGACAGCCCUGAGGAGGGCACCAACUGUUCUGAUCUCUUGAAGAGCUCCUCAGGCAACCUUCUGUUUCUAGCAAGAUGAUACACCCAAGCCUUGAUGACAAGGCUUGGCUCUCAACCUCCUUGCUCCCCACCUCCUGUGAAAUACACAAAGAAAUUCAGUGAUCAUCGGGGAUGCUCUGGUCCAAACACUACCUGCCAGCCAGACGCAGGAGAUGGAUGGCUCAGCAGUAAUCGUGCUGCUUGAGCUUGGUGUCUAAUGGGGACAGUAGUGACAGGAAGUUCACAGGGACUGGAAGACAUGAGUUCUCUGAGGGAAAGGAAGGUGAAGCCUGGUGCUUAGGACCCUCAGGAGACCAUAGGAUGUGAGAAGGCUCAAGACACCCAGAGGUGGGGUCAGAAACAGGGCAAAGGAGACCAAGCAUGGGAGAGCUGCAGUGGACGUGUACAGACAGGAGAAGCAGGCCCUAAAGAAUCCCUGAGGCGGCAGAGAGGCUGGGCUGUGGAACUUUUUAAUUACUUUGCAUUAGGGGACUGUAGAGACCCAGAAGCCCACCCUUCCCCUCCCCUCAUCAGCUUAGCCCCAACAUAUGGUGGCUACCAAAGUAGUUAAAUCGGCUCUUGGUAGAAAAGGAAAGAGAUUCCUCCCAGGCUCUUCCCAGGGUCCACGGCCACACUCCAGGAGGGCUCAACUCCAGGGCAAGGCAGCUGGGACAGCAGGCAGCUGAAGGAGGACUAUUACUGCACCUUAGGGAAGAGUGCAGUGGCGAGUGGGGAGGACUCUGCUGGGACCCGGGGGUCAUGUGCAUUCCCAUUUAGUUGAGCUCUGCUUAAUCCGGGCCUAGGCUCACAGUAAUGGGGAACGAGGAGAGGCUCCCAUCAGAGACCAAGAAGAUGACAGACUCUCUGUAAAGGCUGUCAGAGGGGUCUGCAUGACCAACCACACCUGCUCCUGUUCCUUUGGGGCUCUUGUGACCUCCCUGUCUUCUUGUGAGAUCUUAUGUUCCUCCAACCCUGAGAGCUACAAACCAAUCUCCGGAAUAAAAAAAUCUGUCCCUCGUGCUGUCA